UACGUAGGGUGCAAGCGUUGUCCGGAAUUAUUGGGCGUAAAGAGCUCGUAGGCGGUCUGUCGCGUCGGAUGUGAAAAUCCAGGGCUCAACCCUGGACCUGCAUUCGAUACGGGCAGACUAGAGUUCGGCAGGGGAGACUGGAAUUCCUGGUGUAGCAGUGAAAUGCGUAGAUAUCAGGAGGAAUACCGAUGGCGAAGGCAGGUCUCUGGGCUGACACUGACGCUCAUGCACGAAAGCGUGGGGAGCAAACAGG
rnacentral:rRNA from 1 species